AUUGAACGCUGGCGGCAGGCUUAACACAUGCAAGUCGAGCGGUAACAGAGAGAAGCUUGCUUUUCUGCUGACGAGCGGCGGACGGGUGAGUAAUGCCUAGGAAUCUGCCUAGUAGUGGGGGAUAACUUGCCGAAAGGUAAGCUAAUACCGCAUACGUCCUACGGGAGAAAGGAGGGGACCUUCGGGCCUUUCGCUAUUAGAUGAGCCUAGGUCGGAUUAGUUAGUUGGUGAGGUAAUGGCUCACCAAGACCGCGAUCCGUAACUGGUCUGAGAGGACGAUCAGUCACACUGGAACUGAGACACGGUCCAGACUCCUACGGGAGGCAGCAGUGGGGAAUAUUGGACAAUGGGGGGAACCCUGAUCCAGCCAUGCCGCGUGUGUGAAGAAGGUCUUAGGAUUGUAAAGCACUUUAAGUUGGGAGGAAGAGCAGUUAACUAAUAUUUGACUGUUUUGACGCUACCGACAGAAUAAGCACCGGCUAACUUCGUGCCAGCCGCCGCAGUAAAAC
rnacentral:rRNA from 1 species